rnacentral:rRNA from 1 species
UACGUAGGGGCCUAGCGUUGUCCGGAAUUAUUGGGCGUAAAGAGCUCGUAGGCGGUUCGGCAAGUCGGAUGUGAAAUCUCCACGCUUAACGUGGAGGGUCCAUUCGAAACUGCUGUGACUCGAGUCCGGUAGGGGAGUGUGGAAUUCCCGGUGUAGCGGUGAAAUGCGCAGAUAUCGGGAGGAACACCAGUAGCGAAGGCGGCACUCUGGGCCGGAACUGACGCUGAGGAGCGAAAGCGUGGGGAGCGAACAGG